AAGCAGCGCUUUUUCUUGCGCAAGCGCACAGCUGCAGCACUGGCUGGUGGUUGUUAAAGAGUUGGUGUUGAGAGAAUAGAAUUGAUGCUCGUCUCUAGUAGCGUUGCUAGCUGCUUUACAGACUUUUUUGUUAGGCCGGCAGUGCUGAGAGGAGUCGUCGAGCUGUACCACUGGAGGGGAUGAGGGGAGAUAAUGGGAGCUUUCGGUAUUGGAAGUCCCAUGCGGUCCGGGAGGCUGUGCUGGGUGCCGGCUGUAAAACGCAGUGUGCUGAGCCGUGCCUGAGUGUACGGAACCUUCUGCAGGUGUUGCCCCGGAGCCUCCCACAUGCCCGUGAUGCUCCCCGCGGGUGGGUUUCCUUUCUGUGGCCUUCCUAGGAGCUGGGACCUGCAUUGACAGCCCCCCGCAUCCAGUGGUGAGCUGCUCUGUGGCUGAGGAGUGGCUGUGUUCUCAUUAAGGUUUCUUGGAGCUUUGAUUUUUAAUUAAUUUACUAUUUGUAUUAUUUCAAGGCAGGAAUUAGAUGUCACGUCUCGCUACACAUUACGUAAGUUGUAAGAGCCAAUUAAGCAUCUCUUCCCCCUCUCAAUAAAACUGUAAAAAUUAGUUUUUGUGAGUCCUCUCGUGAACUGCGUAGUUACUGGGAUCUAUUUUGUUGUAGCCGCUGUGUUACCAGUGAAUGUCUGUUUUGACAUUUGUUUACAAUACUUCACCUGUAGAUGUUGCUGUCUUUUGUUAACUAUGUGUAUGUUGAUGAAAGCAGGUUCAAGUCAGGUGGAGAGUGUGAACUGGUGGUUCAGGCAGCCUGGGUGUGUGAGGUUUCUUAUUCUAGCUCUGCCUGGUAUUGGUUGUUAGGUUUUUCCACCAUAACAAAACUUGCAACUGAUGCUGUCUUUAAUUUCUGGUGAAGUGGUGUGAGCUGUAGUUAGAUCAUCCUCUUAAAUUUUGGAGGAAGCCAGCUGCUUUGUAUCUUUCAGAAUUAAGACUUUUUCUUAGUUGACUUUUUUUUUUAAUAACUUUAAAAGUGUAAUUUGCAGAACAUUACUCAUUGGGUAGAAUCAAAAGAGUCUUUUCAUCUAAUUCUCUUGUCUGACUGGCUUAUUUUUGUGUUUUCCUUGAAGGAAGAGAUUUGGAGGUCUUAGUCAACAGCAAGUUGAACAUGAGUCCGCAGCAUGCCCAGGCAGCCAGGAAUGCCAACAGUAUCCUGGGCCGCAUCAAGCGUGUCAUUGCUAGCCAACUGAGAGAAGGGGUUGUCCCGCUCUACUGCACUGGGGCAGCCUCACCUUGAGUUCUGUAUGCAGUUCUGGGUGCCACAGUACGAAGAGGACAUAAAGCUAUUGGAGGGUGCACAAAGGCAAGUUCGUGAAAACUGCUGAUCUGUUCAUCUUAUUCAGAUCACAUGAAUGUGAACACGGGAGAGAUUUGACUUGGUGUCCACAUCUACAAAUACAGAAGGGGAAAAAAAUGGAAAGAAAAAGCCUCCCCUGAGAAGAAGGGGAGUGAUCCCAUUAUAAAUGAGAGUCAUACAUCCUUUCUGGAGGCGUGUUGAAAUUUCCCAUGGGAGGAAGAAGAAUAAACAAAGGAUUCGUCUUUUAAAUAUGCUUCAAUCCUCGUGGACUUGGCAAGCUUCAAUACAAUAAGAACCCCAGAAAAAUAGUACCUUGAAGCAGUAUAUCUAACAUGCUAAUUCUGCAGUAUGUAUGAAAGCACAUCAACAGGUGCACAGACAUCCCAAAUGUCUGUACUUGAUUUCAACUUGAGUGAGUGAAGCACGCUGCAAUAAAUGAGAGAAGAGCUGCAAAGAAGAAAUAUGAUUUCUAGUGGGGAUCAUUGGUAGAUCACAAACCAAGCUCCAGCUUACUGUCAAGCACAGCGGACUCAUAUAUUAAAAGGAGUGUUUUUGGAACCCACUGCUGUAAAACUGCUCAACAACCCAUGCCAUUCAUUCAGCAGGGACAGGAGAAUGAGUCUACUUCAUUACUGUUGUGUUUACCAUAUGCAGAGGAGUUACGGAUAAAUAACAGCAGCAGCCAGUGAAGCAUCUGUAUUUGGCUGGCCACACUAAUGGACAAAAAGGAGGAUUUUCUUCCUAAUUCUUCAUUAACAGAAGCAAUUAUGUGUUUCUUUGCUGAUUACAGAUAACUCAGGGCAGAAAACUGUGAGAAGAAGGUAAGAGACUGCAUGAAACAGAUGGAGAAAUGUACUGGAAGGGAGGAAAGGGAAAGAGUGAGGUCAUUGCCCUAGAGAUUAAAGAAUAGUUCAAGACUUCUUCCUAUCAGAGAGGAAUAUGGCAGAGGAAUAGUUUUAGAGGUUGCUUUUCAUCUGUUUUUUUGUUUGUUUGUUUGUUUGUUUGUUUGCUUGUUUGAGUACGUAACAGUCAAUAGUAUGGGGUAGAGAAUAGGAAAUAAACACACAGAACACAUGUGAUGUAACAGUGACAAUUUUUUUUGUGUUGUUUUUUUUAAGGCAAAUGACUAGAAAUGUUCACCUUGACAGUGCUGAUCCUGAUUCAUGGCUUCUGACUGCUGGUUAUUGGUAGAAAUUCUGGUAUGAUGGACCAGCCACAGCUGUGUUUCAGAGGGUAUGGUAGCAGUACAAACUGACUUAACAAUUUCUUUAUCAAUAGUGUCACUUAGUUUGUAAAAAUGUAAUAUUUAUAAUAUGGACUUGCAUUAAUUUUACAAGAAAGAUUUUAUUUUCCAAAAGUGCAUUUAGUUAUUUUAAAAACAUUUGAAGCCACUUUCAGCAAUCUGAAGCCUAUAGAGAUUAGCAGAACAAUCUCAAUAUGUUACUCAGACUGAAUCUCUUUAUAUUUGAGAGUAAUGAAUGGCAGUAUUAAGAUAGUUCUGUUAAUAUUUGACUACUGUCUCUGUUGCUUUACCAUAAUUAUUCUUCUUGUGACAUGUUGCUGUAAACCUGGGGAGACAUGUAUAUUAUUGUAAAAAUUUAAACACUUUAGAAUCUCUAAAUUAAGCAGAUAAAUAGAAAAUGUUAAGCACUUCUUGUGUAUUCCAUUUUCUGUUCUCAGUGCAUUUCCCAGUGAAAGAAAAAAAAUUGAACAGCUUUAUUAAUAUAUUUCAUGGCAUUCCUGUGUUAUGGGAACAAUACAUUCUCAAGCGCUCCAUGCAUCUGAAAUUUGUCUCGAUGUGGCCCAUUUAUUUUAAUUUGGGUCUGUCAGUAGAAAAAAAGAAGUAAUUAAACUUGUGACUAGCAUGGAGAAACGUUUUGCGUUCUAACACUGUAGCUCGAUACCCAGUAGUUUCUUUAUAUUUCUUCCAGUUGUCAGAUCAAAGUCUCUCAAGUACUAUAACUCAGCCAUGCUUUGAUUAAUUACUUCACACAAUGAAUUUGCAAAUUAUAUUUCUGAAGUGAUUUAUGUACUUUUUAACUUCAAUCAACCCUCUCUCCUCCCUGCUUUUUUUUUUUCUUCCUCUCUACUCCGAUCUCUAUUCUGAUGUUAUUUUAUGCUUAACAAAUCCGUAUAAACAGAGCAAAGUCUUACCUGAACA